rnacentral:rRNA from 1 species
GCCUUCGGGUUGUAAAGCUCUUUCAGCAGGAACGAAACGGCCGACUUUAAUAAAGUCGGCUAAUGACGGUACCUGCAGAAGAAGCACCGGCUAACUACGUGCCAGCAGCCGCGGUAAUACGUAGGGUGUCAGCGUUUAUCGGAAUUACUGGGCGUAAAGCGUGCGCAGGCGGCGACAUAAGACAGAUGUGAAAUCCCCGGGCUCAACCUGGGAACUGCAUUUGUGACUGUGUUGCUAGAGUGUAGCAGAGGGGGGUGGAAUUCCACGUGUAGCAGUGAAAUGCGUAGAGAUGUGGAGGAACACCGAUGGCGAAGGCAGCCCCCUGGGUUAACACUGACGCUCAUGCUCGAAAGCGUGGGGAGCAAACAGGAUUAGAUACCCUGGUAGUCCACGCCCUAAACGAUGCCAACUAGGUG